AUCACAGCCAUGUUCUCCGGCAGACACACACCUGGAGCAGCCGUGUGGCCCCUGCUGGGGCCCGUGUCUGUAAUAACUGUCCUUCAGAUCAGCUUAAAGAUGAAGACUUGAUAACCACCAGGCCUGAUCAGGGAGGAAGCAGCCAAUAGGAACAGAGUGUGGGCGGGUCUUAUUGUCUCCAUCAUCAGCAGAAGAAGAGGAGUUUCUGUUGAACCGGUUUCUGACAAGAUACCAGAGGAGUCCACAUUAUGCCAGGUGUCGGGA